rnacentral:rRNA from 1 species
CAGCCGCCGCGGUAAUACGAAGGGGGCUAGCGUUGCUCGGAAUUACUGGGCGUAAAGGGCGCGUAGGCGGACAGUUAAGUCGGGGGUGAAAGCCCGGGGCUCAACCUCGGAAUUGCCUUCGAUACUGGCUGUCUUGAGUACGGGAGGGGUGUGUGGAACUCCGAGUGUAGAGGUGAAAUUCGUAGAUAUUCGGAAGAACACCAGUGGCGAAGGCGACUCUCUGGUCUGUAACUGACGCUGAGGAGCGGAAGCGUGGGGAGCGAGCAGGAUUAGAUACCCCAGUAGUCCCUGUCUCUUAUAC